GUAAUGACAGAGCUGUAAAUCUUGCAUGUAUUAAUUUCAACACUUCUUAAUAAUAACUGCAUUGUUUCUUUCCAGGUAAACUGACAUCUUACUGCUCAAAGAAGACUUCAAAUGUAACUAGUAGCGACUUCCCUUGAAAACCAACA